UAUCUCCUGACGAAGGUUCCCAGUGCCUCAGCAACAGCAUUUGCACAGCCCAAGCUGCGUCACAGCUACUUAGAGAUGUGUUCAACUUCCUGACUCACCCCUAAAAGCAAGUUCCAGGAAUAAGCUCCGAAAGGUCUUUAAGUUUUCAAGGAUGCCAGUGAGGCCUUACCUGAACUUGACAGAAGGAAAUCAAGACCCCUAGGAUGGAUGGGUAACCAAAGCUAUAUGUGGAGGCUCAGAAAUUCCUUGACUACUCUGGAAGAUGAGAGCUGGUUCCUUCAGGAGGAGGUCAGGAUCUGGCUGGUGUGCAAAGAUGAGGGAGCUGAACAAUCGAUCUUGUGCAGUCAUUGUUCCAGAAAUCAGCUCUGGGCAGGCCCAAAUGAAGACUGGAUUUUUAUACUGAGGAGGAUAAAUACCAGUGGACAGGGCAGCUGCGAUCAAUCAGACACUCUGAAGUUAGACGGAACAUGAUGCAGGCCGGGGGAAAAAGGGCCUUGAAAAAUGCAGUUUUAUGUUAAAGGGAUUCUUAGCUCAAAGAGUUGAGAAAAGGCACAUAAUCAAAUGUAUAUUAAUCUCCUCACCAAAGAACAUGGUGAUUUUACCAUCUUAUUUAAAUAAGUCUUUCAGAAAAGAGGAGGUAAGAAAAAUUAAAAUUUCUCUCUGGCCUUGUCAAGCCAUCACUUAGUGCAGUGCUGAGCUGCAUUCAGAUCCUCUAUUUCGUCCCCCAAACCUAAGAAUUAUCCAAAUAAUAUACAGUCAUUUUCACAGUAUAAGUAAAAUGCUAUAAUCUGUAAAGGGAAUGGGAAUGACUAGUUUAGGGACAUUGAGAAUUAUCUGAAGCACUUUAGGGCUCUUAACAUUCGUCUCAGGGGCUCCAGAGUGGGAGAAAGAUCAUAGAUAACAGAGGGGGUCCCAGUCCCCCCCAGGAGGCUGACAAAGGUACUGGGAGAAGGUGGUGCUGGGGCGUGGGAGGAAGGGAGGCACCAUGAAGUCGAAAUUCUGGUAUUCAAGAAUAGGUUGAUACUAAUGAGUGUGUCUGAUUUUAGGCAAAUCACCAACUCCUCAGGCUCCCAAAUCCCCAUUUGUAAAAUGAGGCAACCUAACUCGGUUUUCCUCCUUCCAGUGCUAAAAUUCUAUUAAAAAAUUUCCAGUCCCAGA